rnacentral:rRNA from 1 species
GACGAACGCUGGCGGCGUGCUUAACACAUGCAAGUCGAACGAUGAAGCCUAGCUUGCUAGGUGGAUUAGUGGCGAACGGGUGAGUAAUACGUGAGUAACCUACCUUUAACUCUGGGAUAUGCCUGGUAAACUGGGUCUAAUACCGGAUACGACCAAUCUCCGCAUGGGGUGUUGGUGGAAAGCGUUAUGUAGUGGUUAUAGAUGGGCUCACGGCCUAUCAGCUUGUUGGUGAGGUAACGGCUCACAAAGGCGACGACGGGUAGCCGGACUGAGAGGGUGAACGGCCACAAGGGGACUGAGACACGGACCAGACACCAACGGGAGGCAGCAGUGGGGAAGAUUGCACAAUGGGAGCAAGCAUGAUGCAGAGACGCCGCGUGAGGGAUGACGGCCUUCGGGGUGUAAACCUAUGUUAGCAGGGAAGAAGAGAGAUUGACGGUACCUGCAGAGAAAGCGCCGGCUAACUACGUG